AUCAGAGUGGCGCAGCGGAAGCGUGGUGGGCUCAUAACCCAUAGGUCUCAAGAUCGAAACUUGGCUUUGGAUA
rfam:Ipomoea nil DNA, scaffold: scaffold1801, cultivar: Tokyo-kokei standard.